AUUGAACGCUGGCGGCAGGCCUAACACAUGCAAGUCGAGCGGGGUUUUCGGACCUAGCGGCGGACGGGUGAGUAAUGCGUAGGAAGCUGCCCGAUAGAGGGGGAUACCAGUUGGAAACGACUGUUAAUACCGCAUAAUGUCUACGGACCAAAGUGUGGGACCUUCGGGCCACAUGCUAUCGGAUGCGCCUACGUGGGAUUAGCUAGUUGGUGAGGUAAUGGCUCACCAAGGCGACGAUCUCUAGCUGGUUUGAGAGGAUGAUCAGCCACACUGGAACGGAGACACGGUCCAGACUCCUACGGGAGGCAGCAGUGGGGAAUAUUGGACAAUGGGCGCAAGCCUGAUCCAGCCAUGCCGCGUGUGUGAAGAAGGCCUUCGGGUCGUAAAGCACUUUCAGUAGGGAGGAAGGGUUAAGUGUUAAUAGUACUUAACUUUGACGUUACCUACAGAAGAAGCACCGGCUAACUCUGUGCCAGCCGCCGCCGUAACAC
rnacentral:rRNA from 1 species